ACGCUUGAAGUCAGUCGUGUCUGCCAGGACUCAGCCUUGCUUCUGCUUGGUGUACUUUCUGGUUGGAUGGGCCAACAUCAAUUUUGACCGUUGGAGAAAGGCUUCGGGAAUGUGGCACCUUCGGGUGUGUUAUAGCCCUUUGUCAUAUGCAGCGGUUGGGAUUGAGGACUGCAGCAUGCCUUUAUGGCCGGGGUUCGCCCACGUACAUGCUUAGGAUGUUGGCGUAAUGGCUUUAAGCGACCCGUCUUGAAACACGGACCAAGGAGUC
rnacentral:rRNA from 1 species